AACCGAGAAAAGUUCCUUCUUCAUUUCAUAUAAGAAAGGUGGGAAUUCUUUUGAACAUUUGACAUUUAUACACGUUGGGGAACUGCAGAACUUUUAUUGAUGUUCAGAGACACCAUCUUCACGUGGGAAGCAAGUGAGGCCUACUCCCGACCCCCCAGAGUCAAUGAUGCCCCCUAUAUAUAUGUAUUUGUUCUGACCCCUUUUUAACAGUUAUAAGAAGGAAUUUUGGAAGCUACUUUUGAUUAGAGAGACACCAUCUUCACGUGGGAAGCAAGUGAGGCCUACUCCCGACCCCCCAGAGUCAAUGAUGUUCCCUUAUAAAUAUAUUUGCUUCCGCCCCUCUUUAUUUGAUUUUUUUUAUUAUUUUUUUUUUAUUCCCCACACUAACUUAUACUACUUUUAC
rnacentral:lncRNA from 1 species